CGGGUUUGUAAGUCAGUGGUGAAAGUCUGCAGCUUAACUGUAGAACUGCCAUUGAUACUGCAUACCUUGAGUAAUUACGAAGUGGUUAGAAUAUGUAGUGUAGCGGUGAAAUGCAUAGAUAUUACAUAGAAUACCGAUUGCGAAGGCAGAUCACUAAUAAUUUACUGACGCUGAUGGACGAAAGCGUAGGUAGCGAACAGGAUUAGAUACCCUGGUAGUCUACGCCGUAAACGAUGGUUACUAGCUGUUUGGCUCGAUUAAGAGCUGAGUGGCUAAGCGAAAGUGAUAAGUAACCCACCUGGGGAGUACGUUCGCAAGAAUGAAACUCAAAGGAAUUGACGGGGGCCCGCACAAGCGGUGGAGCAUGUGGUUUAAUUCGAUGAUACGCGAGGAACCUUACCAGGGCUUAAAUGUAGUCUGACAGGUCUGGAAACAGACCCUUCUUCGGACAGAUUACAAGGUGCUGCAUGGUUGUCGUCAGCUCGUGCCGUGAGGUGUCAGGUUAAGUCCUAUAACGAGCGCAACCCCUGUGGUUAGUUGCCAGCGAGUAAUGUCGGGAACUCUAGCCAGACUGCCGGUGCAAACCGUGAGGAAGGUGGGGAUGACGUCAAAUCAUCACGGCCCUUACGUCCUGGGCCACACACGUGCUACAAUAGUAGGGACAGAGAGCAGCCACUACGCGAGUAGGAGCGAAUCUAUAAACCUUAUCACAGUUCGGAUCGGAGUCUGCAACUCGACUCUGUGAAGCUGGAAUCG
rnacentral:rRNA from 1 species